rnacentral:rRNA from 1 species
CCCCUAGUAACGGCGAGUGAAGAGGGAAAAGCUCAAAUUUUGAAUCUGGUGUCUUUGACUCCCGAGUUGUAAUCUAGAGAAGUGUUUYCCGUGUCGGAYCGUGUACAAGUBCCCUGGAACGGGGCGUCAUAGAGGGUGAGAAUCCCGUAUAUGCCACGGACUACCGAUGCUCUGUGAUACACUCUCAACGAGUCGAGUUGUUUGGGAAUGCAGCUCAAAAUGGGUGGUAAAUUCCAUCUAAAGCUAAAUAUUGGCGAGAGACCGAUAGCGAACAAGUACCGUGAGGGAAAGAUGAAAAGCACUUUGGAAAGAGAGUGAAACAGUACGUGAAAUUGUUGAAAGGGAAGCGUUUGAAGUCAGUCGCAUCUGUCGGGAUUCAGCCGGGCUUAUGCCAGGUGUACUUCUUGUCCGAYGGGUCAGCAUCAAUUUCGACCGGGGGAAAAAGAYGUGCGGAAUGUGGCUGUCUUCGGGCAGUGUUAUAGCCKCAUGUUGUAUGYCUCGGUUGGGAUUGAGGAUCGCAGCGCGCCUCAUGGCCAGGGGU